rnacentral:rRNA from 1 species
GACGAACGGUAGCGGCGUGCUUAACACAUGCAAGUCGAACGAAGUGGCGAACGGGUGAGUAAUAAGUGGGUAACUGCCCUCCUUUUUGGGAUAAGCCUAGGAAACGGGGUCUAAUACCGAAGAAAGGGGGAUGGGCUCGCGGCCUAUCAGCUUGUUGGUGGGGGGAUGGCCUACCAGGGCGGUGACGGGUAGCCGGCCUGAGAGGGGACCGGCCACAUUGGGCUGAGAUACGGCCCAGACUCCUACGGGAGUCAUCAGUGUGGAAUAUUGCACAAUGGGCGCAACCCUGAUGCAGCGACGGCGCGUCGUGGGUGACGGCCUUCGGGUUUAAGACUCCGUUCGUCAGAUAAGCCGUACCUGCAUUAGAAGCGCCGGCUCACUACGUACCAGCCGCCGCGGUAAUUC